UACGGGGGGGGCAAGCGUUGUUCGGAAUUACUGGGCGUAAAGGGCUCGUAGGCGGCCAACUAAGUCCGACGUGAAAUCCCCAGGCUUAACCUGGGAACUGCGUCGGAUACUGGAUGGCUUGAAUUCGGGAGAGGGAUGCAGAAUUCCAGGUGUAGCGGUGAAAUGCGUAGAUAUCUGGAGGAAUACCGGCGGCGAAGGCGGCAUCCUGGACCGACAUUGACGCUGAUGAGCGAAAGCUAGGGGAGCAAACGGG
rnacentral:rRNA from 1 species